GGGGAUGUGGCGGAAUGGUAGACGCAGCGGACUUAAAAUCCGCCGGUUGUAUAAACCGUGGGGGUUCAAGUCCCCCCAUCCCCA
rnacentral:tRNA from 22 species